GACUGUACAAAGGUAGCAUAAUCAUUUGUCUUUUAAUUGAGGUCUGGAAUGAAUGGUUUGAUGAAAAAUAUAUUUUAUUUAUUUUUUAAGCAAAAUUUAAUUUUUUAGUUAAAAAGCUAAAAUUUAUUUAUGGGACGAGAAGACCCUAUAGAACUUUAUUUUAAAUUUAAUAUAAGUAAUUUUGUUAUGAAAUAURUAUUUAUAUUAAUAAAGAAUUUUGUUGGGGUGACAAAAAAAAUUUAAUAACUUUUUUUAUUUAUUACAUUUAUAUAUGUUUUUUUGAUCCCUUUUUUUGGAAAAAAGAUCAAGUUACCUUAGGGAUAACAGCGUUAUUAUUUUGAAGAGUUCUUAUCGAUAAAAUAGUUUGCGACCUCGAUGUUGGAUUAAAAUAAAGUAUAGGGGUAGAAUAUUAUAUUUUAGGUCUGUUCGACCUAUAAAUUUUUACA
rnacentral:rRNA from 1 species